GCUGGCGGCAUGCCUAACACAUGCAAGUCGAACGGCAGCACGGGAGCUUGCUCCUGGUGGCGAGUGGCGGACGGGUGAGUAAUGCAUAGGAAUCUGCCUAGUAGUGGGGGACAACCUGGGGAAACUCAGGCUAAUACCGCAUACGCCCUAAGGGGGAAAGUGGGGGAUCUUCGGACCUCACGCUAUUAGAUGAGCCUAUGUCUGAUUAGCUUGUUGGUGGGGUAAAAGCCUACCAAGGCGACGAUCAGUAGCUGGUCUGAGAGGACGACCAGCCACACUGG
rnacentral:rRNA from 1 species